rnacentral:rRNA from 1 species
AGCGAACGCUGGCGGCAGGCCUAACACAUGCAAGUCGAACGAACCUUUCGGGGUUAGUGGCGGACGGGUGAGUAACACGUGGGAACGUGCCUUUAGGUUCGGAAUAACUCAGGGAAACUUGUGCUAAUACCGAAUGUGCCCUUCGGGGGAAAGAUUAAUCGCCUUUAGAGCGGCCCGCGUCUGAUUAGCUAGUUGGGUGAGGUAAUGGCUCACCAAGGCGACGAUCAGUAGCUGGUCUGAGAGGAUGAUCAGCCACAUUGGCACUGCGACACGGCCCAAACUCCUACGGGACGCAGCAGUGGGGAAUCUUGCGCAAUGGGCGAAGGCCUGACGCAGCCAUGCCGCGUGAAUGAUGAAGGUCUUAGGAUUGUAAAAUUCUUUCACCGGGGACGAUAAUGACGGUACCCGGAGAAGAAGCCCCGGCUAACUUCGUG